rnacentral:rRNA from 1 species
UACAGAGGGUGCUAGCGUUGUUCGGAAUCAUUGGGCGUAAAGGGCGUGUAGGCGGUUUGUCGCGUCUGCUGUGAAAUUUCGGGGCUCAACCCCGAACUUGCAGUGGGUACGGGCAGACUAGAGUGUGGUAGGGGGAGACUGGAAUUCCUGGUGUAGCGGUGAAAUGCGCAGAUAUCAGGAGGAACACCGAUGGCGAAGGCAGGUCGCUGGAACGGUACUGACGCUGAGGCGCGAAAGCGUGGGGAGCGAACAGG